GGGGCACACCAGCUUCUGCACUGACAUAUCUUGGCUGGUAGUAGUGUGUUUGGCACGCUGUGAAGAUGAGCUCAAAAUGUUGUUUAUUAUGCAUUUUUAGGGAGGAAAUGUGCAUUCAUUGCACUAAGAGAUGAAGUGGAAAAAUAAUUGCAUUGGAACAGCUACAAAUGACAGGCAAGCAUCUACAAAGUAUGCCACUUUCAUAGCUGUUGUAGGGAAGCAGUGUAGGAUAAAGACCAACCAAGAAUGUCCUUGAAGGCACCCCUUCAAUCCUGGACAGACUUACCUGAAUCCAAAUCCUCUAGCGGUCACGGAAAGUGUUCCAUAUUUCAAAAAUACUCAACAAAAGGAUUUCUCUUGGUGUUAUUUCUCCCGUCAUCUACAACAUUUUCUGGUGCCAUGACUCGGAUCAAGAGGUCAAAGGUGAGAGAAGCCGAGAGAGAGAAUUUUGAGAUCGGGAACACCUUCAGGAGUCAGCCACGCCAGCAUCCAACCAGCGACU
rnacentral:lncRNA from 11 species